rnacentral:lncRNA from 1 species
GCAACCGCUGAUUCUGCUUAGUUCAAGCAUAAUCUGAUUAGACUUAAAAGUUUGCUGCUUAAUUGCAGGUAUGUUAUGGACCUAAGCAUGUUGAGGUCGCAUCUUGCAAUGCAAACUCUUCUGAUGACGACAGAUAGUUUGUUUCGGUAAGUCGUGUUUAUUGACUUUAUUAUACUGUUAUUUCUUGUGCAUAUGUUGGUGGGGUUGGUUUUGUAUUAGAACAAGCGGAAAAUUGUGCAAUGCGGCCGUUGCGAUAGGUUAGUUAAGCUCGCUUGCCUAACCUGCCAUGGAUGAUUGGUGUGGCUCCCAGGAAACAUAAUAAGAUUAAUAAUAUAUUGGACUUAAGUAGCACAGUGAAGCUUUAUUAUCGAUUUAAAUUCUUUAACACAUAAAUUCCAUGUUAUAAGUUUAUUAUUACUGUUGGUAAGAACAGGGGCGGAGCCAGUGUAUUGGCAUUGGGUUCAGAUGAACCCAAUGAAUUUGUCUGGCCACGUAUAGUAUAUAGAUACGCAUAUGCUUUGAACCCAAUAAAAAAUAAGGGCUGACCCCAUCAACUUAAAUUCCAACGCUGAAUGCAAAGCCCAAAAGCCCGCAAGUGAAUUGGCACCGUGACAAGACUGUUCGUGACCCUUAUUCCUACUAGUAAGCGUGCACGUGCAACGCACGUAUUCUAAUAAAUUACAAUAAAAACAUUAACUAUGUCUUGUGUUUUUACCCGAACAUUUAAAUGCGUGUCGCGCCCAAUGAUUUCAAUAUAGUAAUUUAUUUUAGAUCAAGUCAUAGGUCUUGUUUGACCGGUGAAAGACUUCCAUUGUUGAAAUGUUGUGAUCCUAAAAUUCCAAAACCAAAAUACGUAAAAACUCACAAAUGUAAUACACGACCAAUACACAUGUCUUCACAUAAAAUUAACGAUCACAUAAAUAUAUUGUAAUUGUUAAUUAUUACAAAAUAUGUAAAAAUAACAACUAAGCAACAUUAUCAAGCAAAGUUCAUCUAUUAAGCCGUUGUUUGUUGGAGUGACAAACGGCGAAAGGAUAAAUGCUUGCGACAUGAGCUCAACUUCUGACGAGGAGUUGGAUGCUUUGGGUUUGUUAGGAGGUCUUUCGACAAUCAUACAAUCGGGGGAUCCGUGUUGGUUUCAUCAUCAUCCAAGUCUUGGUUUCUUAUAUCGUCAUCAUUGAAUUCCGAGUUGACUAAAAUCACAACUAAUUUUGUUCUAAAAUCUGUCAUAUGAACCUAAAGUGAAGUAGUAAUAAUAAGACUUAGUUUUCAAAUAAUGAUACAACACAAAAUAAUCAGUAUCAUGAUACCAUGCAAAAUAUACCUGUUCGGGAGUGUCGGACAAACUAUCUCCUGUGAAGUACUCCAUGUAAUUUAACAUGCAGAGACCACAAGAUGACCUAGAUGAUAAAGAAAUUUUGAUAUGCUUAAUAACAAGAAUAUUAGAAAAAUAUUAAUAUUAUAACAUGAUGAUGACUGAACCACAGAGUCAUACCGGAGACGCUCGAUAAAAAAAGAAUUGAAUAACGUUUGCCGCUAAUAUAAAUCAAAUGACCUAAAGGGCUACCAGUCCCUUUCUCACAACAGGAUGUAUCCCCAUUUUUUUUCCUUGUGCAAAAUGGAUGUAUCCCGAUCUGAAACACCUAGCACUUGAUUUAUCCAGUGGUGUGUGUGCGGUGAGAGACACAGGCACCCACCACUUUGCUUUCUCCGCCAGCCGCCUGCUCUGCUGCACACCGCCGCCUCUCCCGCCACGAUGUCGCCCCCCUCCCCCCCCCCCAACCCACACCACCACCACGGCCUCGCCCCUUCUCGUCCUAUCCCUCCUUAUCCCCACGACGGCCUCGCCCCGCCGGCCCUUAUCCCCACGACGGCCUAACUCCGCCAGCUCCUGUCACCACCGCGGCCUUGCCUCACAGCCAACCCCGCCAAUCUUCCCUACAUCGACUCUGCUGCCGCCAUCCUACUGCCCCAGAGCAGAUCGAGAUGUGAGCUGCUGGACACGAUGCGGGAGGAGGCAUCUCGAAUUGGACGGAGAUCCAGUGCAUUGACGUGCCCGUUGUAAUCAUCGCCCCCCGUGUUUGGCUCACACAGUUGCUCCGGGAAGGAGUUCGCAGCUCGCGUGCAUGCUCGGUUGCUGAAGGUAUGCGUUCGUUUAGAUGUUGUUAAUGCACCUAUGGUUAUCAGUGUGGAUUUAGUUUGGUGACAUUUUUGAGGCAACCAUGCUGUGGCAAAGCUGAUUGAUUUGUGGAUUUGAAUUCUGGGUGGCUUAAUUUGUCACUAUCAGCUAUCUAUGAUUGAUGUUGAGUUGUUGCUUUUUGUGGCUGUUGCUUGAUUAGUGUGGUAUUCUCACGUUGUAAUGUCGCAUUAUUACUGGCACUAAGUAACAGAGAGUUCCAGGGUCACAACUAAGUUGGUAUCUACACUAUUUGUAUCAGAAAUACAUGUGACACCAUCAUUUGACAUCUAAACAUUGCUGAUGCUUAUGCCAUUGUAUGCACAACAGGCGCCUUCGCCACAUUGUCAUUCAUUUGUGAGAUGUUUCUCUUUCUCUAUGUUGGCAUGGAUGAUAUAUAGAGUAGUGGAAGAUUGUUAGUGAAACACAUUCAGGUAUGCUAUCUAUCUGAUUCUUUCCAUGUGUGUAGUAACAUAUUCGUUGUUCAAAUCCAGAAAUUGUAACACAUUUUCUAUACUACUAUAUGUAGCCCAAUGAAAUGUAUCGCCUUGAGCUCCAUUAUUUAGGCCAGAUCACAUGAGAGAUUUUGUGUCAAUUGCAUUGACAUCCAAUAAGGUAAAAGCUCUGAUUUAUAUUAGGAGGCGUACCCAUCUGUCUGAAGACUGCUCUUAAUAUAUUCUUCUCUUUCUCAUGUUGUAACAUUUAGAUCAGUCCACUUAUCGGAUUUUAAUUCCAUGUGCUCGGAUGCAUAUUUGAAUAAAUCAUCCAGUCCUUCUAGCUGUUGUACCAACAAAUG